UGUUUUGUUGCUGUCAUGAGCAGAGAGUCAAUCAUGGCUCCUUCCGUGGUACGAUGGCUAAAGAGAUGUUACGUUUUCAUGUUGACAUGUCCUCUCUGUGUCCCAGCCUUCUUGAAUCUAGAAGAGUUGAAUGAGAUGAAAUAUGGGAUUCAGAUUCUUCCCGACCCCGUGAUGUUGGGCCAGACCAAGAAAGAGGAGGUGAUGAUCGUGUCCAGCAAGUACAAGCAGGUGUACGAGUGUCGACUUCCAGCCCAGGCAGUCAGGUUUCAUCAGGACCCAUCCUCUGAGCCUGACUCACAAGGGUACACUGGGCUUGACAUUCCUGACCUACUCACUCCAAUGCACGAUGCCCAGUGUCUAGUAAAGACGAAGGACUGGUGGACUUAUGAGUUCUGCCACGGCCAGCAUAUUAGACAGUACCACCUUGAAGACACCGAAAUCAAAGGGGACAUUCUCUUCCUAGGUCAUUAUGAAUCAGAAUUUGACUGGAGCAACGAAACAGCCAAGGCUUCCAAACAGCACCGGCUGAGACGCUACCACAGUCAAACCUAUGUAAAUGGAUCAAAGUGUGACCUAAAUGGAAAUCCCAGAGAGACUGAAGUCCGGUUUGUGUGUGAAGAAGGCUCAGGUGACUACAUUGCCCGAGUGGAUGAGCCUCAGUCGUGCCGCUAUGUGCUGACAGUUCACACCAGUCGUACCUGCCAGCAUCCGUUCCUGCGACCGCCAUCCACUGCCAAGCCACAGACUAUUGUGUGCCAGCCAGCACUAAGUGCCCAACAGUACAUGGAUUACGUCAAGGCUCAAGUCUCGGACACAAAGCGUAAAGUAGAGCAGAUCUCAGAGGAGCUGAGGAGUCUUGAUGAGAUGUUAGCUGGUAAUAAAGGGGCAGAUGGUGCAGUGGAAGUAACAGCAGAAGAGACAUCACCUCCACCCAGUGAUGACCUGAGCCACAUAGAUGCAAAAGAUACUGCUGAUUUAUCUGAGGAUGCCGGGUCAGAGGAGGCAGAAGAUUCUGACUUCUGGGAGGGAGUUACAAAGCCAAGGAGUUCAAAAACAACUGCUUCUCAACAGGAGAAUCAGGCAGCAGAUGAUGGCUAUAACUCACUUACAGACAAUGAAGUCAUGGAUGAUGGUGAUGAAGUUGAAAAAUUUAACUUUAAAAUCAUCACUGACCCAGCAGACCUGAUGAAAUUUGUCCAACAUCUCAAAGAGAGUAACAGGAAGAAAGCACAAAACCAGGUCAAAAGUGGAGGCGAGAAACCGACAAGCGACAGGGUAACAGAGAAGCUUGGCGGGGAAGAGAUAGAUGAAGAUGAACGCCUACUACAGGAGUUUGAGGAUGAGAUGGUCGACCUCUCCGUAACCCCUGAUAAGAUUGACGAGAUAAAGGAGGAAAUGCAAAAGGAGUUUGACAACAUUAUAAAUGAGGCUCAGCAGGAAUUGGAGACAGAAGGCCUGAAAGGGGAGUUUGAUCGCACUCAAGCAACACAGACACUGGAGACGACGCUGGACAAGCUACUUGAUCAUUUGGAGGACAAAGACAUCCAGGACCCAGAGCAGCAAACAGCAGGAGUUCAAAGAGCCAGUGACCCCACCAGGGGCAGCCCCAGCCUGGCUCCGAAGCAGCCAGACCAAGCAGCUGACGACCAUGUUAAGAUCAAAAUUACAAAGUAUAAGACGGGCGGCAGCCCUGAUGGGGAGGUCAAAGUUCAGGAGAUGGGCGAAGGAGACCCCCAGUGGCAGCACAUAAAGGACGUGGUUAAAGAACAGCUAGAGAGAGCAGGACUGAAGGCAGAAGGUAAAAUUGAGGUGAAGAUCUUGACACAAAGAAAUGCAGAGGAGGCAGGUGAUCAGUGGCUGACUGAAGAAGAUACAAAGUCCUUCAGGGAGCUCCUCAUAAAUCUCCUGGGCUGGAGCUGAUCCUAGCUGAUAUUGUGCGAAGGAGGGGUUCACCCUGGACAGGUUGCCAGUCUAUCGCAGCGCACAUAGACAGACAGCCAUUCACGCUCACAUCAAGCUGAAGUGUCCCAUCAAGGCGUGUUUGGUGUCACACUGUUUACCAUUGACUGGAGGCACAGAAGAGGUUUACAAAGAGCAAAAGAGGCAACAGGAGUUGGAGAGCAACUAUAGGUUUGUGUGGGGAGAGUCCCAGGAGGAGUCCCAAUCAUCCAGCUCCUCUGACUCAGACGACGUGGACAUAUGAGCUCAUUCAGUGCACCUGGUGUGACGGUGAACUCCUGUGGAGGGAGCCUCAAUUAUUAAAAUGCUAUUAAACCUGGUGGAUAAUAUCUACUCACCUGUUUGCACAUUCAGAAAAUGUGUCUGUGUCUUGAAUAGACAAUAUGUGUCUGGAGUAGGCACCAGUUAUAUGUUGCACGAUGACCCCGCAACAUCUCAGCUGCACUGUGCAGUUGAAUGAAGUUAUGCAUUUACCCCUUUUUGAUGAGAUUCAGUUUUGAAAAAUGGUACUUUUUUUUUAGUGACUUCCACUGACCAUUUGCAUCUAGUUCUGAAGUUGUCAGCGGCACACUGUGUCCACAGUUGGAUUAUUACUUGCAUUUGUGUUAUAUGUUGUUAUUGACAAAGAAGUCCUUACAUUUAAAAGACAGCUGGGGGGUUGUGCAUGCCUCAAGUGUUUGCACAGGUUGUUCAAUUUACUGUUUACUCAAAAGUAUGAUUGUGUUUGGAUAUGAAAAACAAAGGACAAAUACUGAAGAGUUUGAGGGUUCCCCUUUUCAGUUCCCAGUUUGAAACUUUCUGUUGCUACAUUUGGUGAUUAGAUUAAACACAACUGUAUGUUACAGAAGUGUUUGUACACAUGCUGUGGCACUUUAUAUCUUCAGAAACAUAAAUGUCUGUUUCUUAUGGGUUGCAAUGCUGUUAAAUUGAUCUAAAAGGGAAAAACACUUAAAGAAGUUUAGGAAGAUACAUCUUUUACGGUUUUACUUUAAUUUCUGACAAUUUAACUUACCCUAAAUUUAGCAAAGGAAGAGAACGAACGCUACAAUGUCAAUCAGAUUCAGUGUACCUAAAUAAUUAAUCCACACAACUUUUCUACGGAUUCUUCAGAGGUGUAUAAGGGCUGAAUUUGAAUAAGUGUGACUACUUAGAACUCAACAUGUACAUACUUCUGUUUUUGAAUCGAUUUUAUGUAUAUUAGCACACAUUAAGUUAGACUUGAGUUACCUGAGUAAAUGUGGUCGCUUUAGGCAUUUGUUCCCAAAGAAGCCAGUAUCGGAUAAGGAAGCAGGAAAAAAAUGCUUCGGGGUGUGUGUCGGUGCGUUUCUUAACUUAUCAACUGGACUUGUCAGCUCAAAGAAUUGUGAUUGUUCUUGCAUUGCUUCAUGGUCUUAUCUGAUCUCGGGCCUGUAUCGCAAUGCGAUGGAAACCCCAAAGUUAACGGGACCUGUUUAUAAUCAGAUACCUUUUAUCUCGGAGAAAUAAACACAAUACAGUAUGUGGAAAAAUAAAAAACGUUUGCUAAGUAA